CCCAUGGGGGUCGACCCUUCCAUGGCUCUUUGAUAUUAAGAAUCAACUUGCAGACCAGGUGCGGUGGCUCGUGCCUGUAAUCCCAGCACUUUGGGAGGCCAAGGUGGGCAGAUUGCCUGAGCUCAGGAGUUCAAGACCAGCCUGGGCAACACGGUCCGUGGGCUGCUGGACACCCUGGUGACCGACCUGAUGGUCCUGGCUGAUGAGCUCAGCCCCAUAAAGAAUGUCGAGGAGGCUUUGCGCCUCUGCAGGUGACUCUCGGGCCCAAGCAACCUUCUGGAAAACAGGUUAAUAAAUAAAUCAACAAAGAACCUUCAAGUUUCUACUA
rnacentral:sRNA from 1 species